GGAAGCAAAGAAAAUUCAUUCAAACAAUUACAUAGAAAAAUAAAAAAGAAGAAAACAGUAAAGCCAACAAACAAAAACCAAAUAAAGAAAAAGCAAAGAAAAACAACAAAUGGAAUACAAAGAGAAAGCAAAGAAAUCCAAUGCAAUAUCAAGGCAAAGCAAAGGAUUCAAAGAAAGAAAGGGGGAGAAAAAUAGGCUAACCAAAGCAAAACCAAGCCAGUAAGAGGAAAAGAAAACAGACCAUGACAAAUCAAGUAAAGGGCAUAAAAGAGAACAAGCAAAGUAUUAAGACAAAAGCAAAGCAAGAUAACUGACAAGCAAUGCAAAGCAAUGGAAGAAAGGAAAGAAAAAAGAAUUAAAUGAAAGGAAUAGUCAAAGCAAAGCCAAAGGAGCACCGAGCCAAAAGGUAAGCAAAGAAAAUUCAUUCGAAAAAUCCCAUAAAAAACUAAAAAGACACAAACAAACAAAAACAAAAAUGGAAAACCAAAUAAAGAAAAAGCAAAGCAAAACAACAAAUGGAAUGCAAAGAUAAAGCAAAAAGAAGUCAGCAAAGGAAAGAUAAAAAUGAAGGAUCAGGAGGGCUAAUAGCAGGUAAGUAAAGGCGAGGUAAGGGGAAGGUGACGAGCAUGGGGACAAGGAAGGGGAGAAGGAAGGGAAGGAAGAGAAAAAUGUAAAGGAUGAAAAAGGGAAUCACAAAGGAACGCAAAAAGAACUAGCUUGAAAAGGGCAGGAAUGGAAAAGAACCAACAAAAGGAAAAGAAACAGUAGAAGGAAAAAUGAAAGGAGCAGUAAAGAAAAGAAAAAUGGAAAGGGGAAAAAAAAAGCUAAACUAAAAGGCAUAGCAAAGCAAUGAAAUACCAAGGAAAAGAAAAAACAGAAUGCCGUAUCGUGGCAAAGCAAAGGACUCAAAGAAAUUCAACAAGAAAAAAAUCUGCCAUCCAAAAUUGUUCAAAGAAAAAAAAAAAGACAAUAAGGAUAUAAGCAAAGCCACAGAAAGAAAAGCAAACUAGCAAAGAAGAAAGGAAACCAAAGCAAAGCAAGAAAACCAUGAAGCAAUGUAAAAUGCAAAGCAAAGGUAUGAAAGGAAAACCAAAGAGCAAAGCAAAGCACCAGACAAACAAUAAAAAGAAAAAAAAGGGACUGAAAAGGAAAGGAAACUAAAGAUAAGUCAUUUGAUAAGAAGAAAAAGGGGAAGGAAAAAAAGGAAUGCAAAGAAAUGAACUGGAAGGAAGAAAACCACAUUAAGGAAAUAAACAACGGAAAGCGAAGCAAAACGAGCAGUACAGAAAUCUGAAUUAGAAUUAAAAGGCAGAGCAAAGCAAAGCAAGUAAGGGCAAGGCUAGAGGAAGGAGACAGGCAAGGGGACAAGGAUACGGGCAAGGAAAAGAAGGCAAAGAAGAAUGCAAUUACAAAACAAAUAGGAAACUGAAA
ensembl:lncRNA